rnacentral:rRNA from 1 species
UACGUAGGGGGCUAGCGUUGUCCGGAAUCAUUGGGCGUAAAGAGCGUGUAGGCGGCCAGGUAGGUCUGCUGUGAAAACUCGAGGCUCAACCUCGAGACGUCGGCGGAAACCAUCUGGCUAGAGUCCGGAAGAGGAGAGUGGAAUUCCUGGUGUAGCGGUGAAAUGCGCAGAUAUCAGGAAGAACACCCGUGGCGAAGGCGGCUCUCUGGGACGGUACUGACGCUGAGGAGCGAAAGCAUGGGGAGCGAACAGG